rnacentral:rRNA from 1 species
AAGGCCUAACUGGCAGUUCGAACGAAGAAGACCUUCGGGUCCCCUAGUGGGCGAACGGGUGAGUAACACGUAGGGAACCUGCCCGCGCACCGGGAAUACGCUCUGGAAACGGAGAACAAAUCCCGAUGUACAGGAAGGAGGCAUCUUCUUUCUGUGAAACAUCCUUUAGGGGAUGGGGCGCGGAUGGACCUGCGGUGCAUUAGUUGGUUGGCGGGGUAAAGGCCCACCAAGACGAUGAUGCAUAGCCGGCCUGAGAGGGCGGACGGCCACAUUGGGACUGAGAUACGGCCCAGACUCCUGCGGGAGGCAGCAGUAGGGAAUUUUCGUCAAUGGGCGCAAGCCUGAACGAGCGAUGCCGCGUGAGUGAAGAAGGCCUUCGGGUCGUAAAGCUCUGUUGCGGGGGAAAAAAGGCAGCAUCAGGAAAUGGGUGCUGACUGAUGGUGCCCCGCCAGAAAGUCACGGCUAACUACGUGCCAGCAGCCGCGGUAAUACGUAGGUGGCGAGCGUUAUCCGGAAUGAUUGGGCGUAAAGGGUGCGCAGGCGGUCCUGCAAGUCUGGAGUGAAACGCAUGAGCUCAACUCAUGCAUGGCUUUGGAAACUGGAGGACUGGAGAGCAGGAGAGGGCGGUGGAACUCCAUGUGUAGCGGUAAAAUGCGUANAUAUAUGGAAGAACACCAGUGGCGAAGGCGGCCGCCUGGCCUGUUGCUGACGCUGAGGCACGAAAGCGUGGGGAGCAAAUAGGAUUAGAUA